AUUGAAAUUUAAAAACAGUAAUCAUGUGGCUCCUUUUCUCUGAUACGGGAGAAACCCCAGCCAUUUUCCAUUUUCCCCAACCGUUUUCUUUACCCAUUUUGACACUCAAAAAGGGUUAUCUCCCCUCCUCUCCAAGCCUGGCCGUCCCUCAAUCAGAGUGCUUCCACCGUCAUCAUCAACAUUUUCGACCACACUUCGAUCCCACCCAUUUUCCCCAUAUUAUGCACUUUCCUCCUAAAUCCAUUUCGACGUUUAGACGAGAGAAAACCCUCUCCUUAUUGCCCAACCGUUGUUGCAGUCGGAGGUACUUUGGGACUACUUCCACCAGUGUAUGUAGAAAGCCAUUACCAGUAUUGUUCAUGUAUGUAAAAUAACCCAAACAUCUCAAUUUUUGUAUACUUUUGCCGAUUUGUUACUAGCUUAAAUUAUAAGAGACUUGAAGAUUUGGGGAAAUAUUUGCUGGUGUUGUUUUAAUUGAAUGUUUAGACAAGAAUUUGACAGCUUGCUUCACGGGAUAGGAAAUUAGACGGCGCUUGCUUCCCGGCUUUUGUGGUGGACGGGAAGUAACUUUAUGAAAUAGAAUAAAAUGCACUCUCUUUGGUAAUUAUUUUUAGAGUUUAGCUUAAAAGUUUACAUCAUGUUCAAGCUCACCUCUUAAAAAUGUAAACUUGCUUCUCUUUUGAAUUGAAGCGAACAUACAUUUGUUGCAUCUUCCAUAUUUUUAUGUUGGACGUGUAUUUAUAUAUGAUUUAUACUGUAAAUUUGAUGAUUCUAAAUGUUUUGGUCUAACCCAGCUUGUUGAAACUAUAAGUCACAUUCUGAAAUUUUGAUGAAUACAUUUGUGUAUUAUUGAAUAUUCGUUGGUAGAGCGAAUUGUUUAUUGUGAAAUUGCAUUUGUUUGAGUUGAUGCUCUGUGAUUUUUUGUAUCGUAGAAUGGGCGGUAGGAAUUACGGAAUCUAUCACAGUUGUAGAGCUAAGGGGCAUUUUUUUGCCUAUUGCACAUGAAAACGCCGAUGCCCAAAUUGUGAGCACGGAUUUGAGAAUUGUUUCGUGGUGGAGAAGGAAAGUGGUCAACCUGAUUAGUAGCAAUUAAUCGAUGUAGUGGCUAGUACAUAAUCUUUUGUAGGAGGUCGAAAUAUUUUCAGCGAAGAUAUGUAAAUUAUGUUUGUAAACAGCGAUCUCAUAUAUGAGAUUAGUCUCAAAUUGCUAUCCUUUUUGUGUAAUCUUGGGAAAAUCUACAUUUUAAUUUAUCUAUUUGUGCU
rnacentral:lncRNA from 1 species